rnacentral:rRNA from 1 species
CUCCUACGGGAGGCAGCAGUGGGGAAUUUUGGACAAUGGGCGCAAGCCUGAUCCAGCCAUGCCGCGUGUGUGAAGAAGGCCUUCGGGUUGUAAAGCACUUUCGGCCGGAACGAAAUCGCGCGGAUUAAUAACUCGCGUGGAUGACGGUACCGGAAGAAGAAGCACCGGCUAACUACGUGCCAGCAGCCGCGGUAAUACGUAGGGUGCGAGCGUUAAUCGGAAUUACUGGGCGUAAAGGGUGCGCAGGCGGCGUCGCAAGUCAGGCGUGAAAUCCCCGGGCUUAACCUGGGAACUGCACUUGAAACUACGAUGCUGGAGUAUGGCAGAGGGAGGUGGAAUUCCACGUGUAGCGGUGAAAUGCGUAGAGAUGUGGAGGAACACCGAUGGCGAAGGCAGCCUCCUGGGCCAAUACUGACGCUCAUGCACGAAAGCGUGGGGAGCAAACAGGAUUAGAUACCCUGGUAGUCCACGCCCUAAACGAUGAUGACUAGUUGUUGGAGGAGUUAAAUCCUUUAGUAACGCAGCUAACGCGAGAAGUCAUCCGCCUGGGGAGUACGGUCGCAAGAUUAAAACUCAAAGGAAUUGACGG